UCUCUAGGCCUCAGAGAAUCUGCUUC
rnacentral:piRNA from 1 species